AAAAAUCCGCCAGAAUAAUGCUAGGGUACGAUGCGGAGCGAAAUUUAGUAGCGAAGUAGCUGAUUUCACACUGUCGAGAAAAGUCUCUAUCGAGGUUAAAGGUGCCUGUACCGCAAACCGACACAGGUGGGUGAGGAGAGUAUCCUAAGGCCAGCCAGAGAACUGUUGUUAAGGAACUCGGCAAAAUGACCCCGUAACUUAGGGAGAAGGGGUGCCUUCGAAAGAAGGCCGCAGAGAAUAGGCCCAAGCGACUGUUUACCAAAAACACAGGUUUCUGCUAAGUCGCAAGACGAUGUAUAGGAGCUGACGCCUGCCCGGUGCUGGAAGGUUAAGGGGAUCUGUUAGGGUAACCGAAGCAGUGAACUUAAGCCCCAGUAAACGUCGGCCGUAACAAUAACGGUCCUAAGGUAGCGAAAUUCCUUGUCGGGUAAGUUCCGACCCGCACGAAAGGCGUAACGAUUUGGGCACUGUCUCAACAACAGACUGGGUGAAAUUGUAAUACCGGUGAAGAUGCCGGUUACCUGCGACAGGACGGAAAGACCCCAAGGAGCUUUACUGUAGCUUGACAUUGAGUCUCGGUGCUACAUGUACAGGAUAGGUGGGAGGCUAUGAAGCAUGGACGUCAGUUUGUGUGGAGCCAUCCUUGGGAUACCACCCUUGUAGUACUGGGAUUCUAACCAGCUGCCUUGAAUCAGGUAGUGGGACACUGUCAGGUGGACAGUUUGACUGGGGCGGUCGCCUCCUAAAGAGUAACGGAGGCGCUCAAAGGUUCUCUCAGUACGGUCGGAAAUCGUACGUAGAGUGUAAAGGCAGAAGAGAGCUUGAUUGCAAGACAUACAGGUCGAGCAAGGACGAAAGUCGGACUUAGUGAUCCGGUGGUACCGCAUGGAAGGGCCAUCGCUCAACGGAUAAAAGCUACCCUGGGGAUAACAGGCUGAUCUCCCCCAAGAGUCCACAUCGACGGGGAGGUUUGGCACCUCGAUGUCGGCUCAUCACAUCCUGGGGCUGUAGUAGGUCCCAAGGGUUGGGCUGUUCGCCCAUUAAAGUGGUACGCGAGCUGGGUUCAGAACGUCGUGAGACAGUUCGGUCCCUAUCCGUCGCAGGCGUAGGAAAUUUGAGGAGACCUGUCCUUAGUACGAGAGGACCGGGAUGGACGUACCGCUGGUGUACCAGUUGUUCUGCCAAGGGCAUAGCUGGGUAGCUAAGUACGGAAAGGAUAAGCGCUGAAAGCAUCUAAGCGCGAAGCCUACUUCGAGAUAAGAUUUCCCACCGCAAGGUUAAGACCCCAUGAAGACUACAUGGUUGAUAGGUCAGAGGUGGAAGUGUGGUAACAUAUGUAGCUUACUGAUACUAAUAGGUCGAGGACUUGACC
rnacentral:rRNA from 1 species